GGAUGUGAUCAUACCAGCACUAAAGCACCGGAUCCCAUCAGAACUUCGAAGUUAAGCGUGCUUGGGCGAGAGUAGUACUAGGAUGGGUGACCUCUUGGGAAGUCCUCGUGUUGCAUUCC
rnacentral:rRNA from 1 species